UUACUUCAAAAAAAAUGGCGCCUGUUUAUCCCUAAAUUCCCCCCUGAAGCCCCUAAUUUUCCCCCUAAAAAUAAUCACCUCAGCACACUAUUACUCCCUCAGCUCUGCGCGAAAUCCUAAAGCAAUGCCUCCCAAAGUAGCUAAAUCCCUAGAAACAACGAACUCGCCUUCAACCUUCUUCUUCAAACCAGGUCCCCCUCUCUCUCUUGCUCUCUCUUUGCUUUUUUGCCUGAUUUUUUUUUGUUUUUUUCUUAGAUGAGUCCCUGGAUGGUUGGAGUCUUAUUGUUUCAACAAGGCAAGUGGGUGUUCCAGAUCCAUCAUUGAAGCUGGAAAUACAUAUUUCCAGGAUUUUAGGCAGUUUUUCUUGGUUGUUUUAUGGGCUUAAAUCGAAGUCGUUUAAGAUCUUCUGCUCCGUUUCACUCCAAGCCUUUGUUUCGUAGACAUCUUCAAUCCAUGAAACUUUCAGCAGCAUGAUCCCAAAAUUGUCAAGCAAAUUAGCCAAAUGCGGGUGAAUCACCUUGGACUAAAUUUGACCAAAGAUGAUCUGCAAAACGUGGUUGAUUUAAUGGAGCCAUAUGGUCAGAUAAGCAAUGGAAUAGAAUAUCUAAAUCCUCCCCUUGAUGUCAGUAACUAACUUGCUUGUCAUUUUAAAUAUGCAAGUCAAUUGCUAUUAAUAAUUUUCUGUUGGAUUCUUUUUGGACUAAAAAAUAAUUUCUGGGGAUAGUCUAAGAAUCUUAAAUUUUAUAGAAAGCCAAUAAAGUGCUUGCUGGACGAAAUGUGGUGAUUAAUUGAAUUGCAAGGUCAUACAUGCUGUUAAUUUUUUAAGAGCUGAUAAAUGAGUAUGACAUAGUGCUCAUAAAUGUUCUAAGGAUGUCUUUAGAUGAAUGAAAUUGUUUGAUAGUUUGAAGUUAUAAAUCUUUGUAUUGAUUUUUCUCAACAA